UAAUCUUUAAUCAAGGAUUUGUUGGUUGUCCAAUUUGUGAUAUACAAGUUUCGGUGAAGGAAUUGAACUUAAAAGUCAGAAGUUAUGAUCUGCAAUCACUCUGCAGUGCAGUAUUAAAGAUGAAGGAACACGAAUGUAAAGAGAUCACGUCAGCGGAAACUCCAUCGUUCUUCAAUACAGUGGACAAAGUGCUAAAUCUAAUGCAUGUAACGUUAAAAGAAGCAAAAUACAUUAUGACUAUAGUGAUGGAUCUCAAUGUUAUAUCGCUCGCGCUUCAAAUCAUUUGUUUAGCAGGUAACAUUUUAUCAAGGACGCUAUUAAGCAGAAAAGCGGAGAGAAACAAAUAUGCAUGUAACAACAGAUAUUCGUUUAAUUUGAAAGAUUACAUAACGCUGGAUAAGAAAAUUGAAAAGAAAGGGCGAGGCGAUGGAAAAAAGCUGCGGCGUAUGCUGGAGGCCUCGUACUUGAUCCGAAGAAAGGUUUCUAUGACAAGCUGGGAGCUUCAAUUUUUGGUAUUGUACAAGAUGUAUUAAUCCGAGUAUUAUACAAGAGUACAAUUUGUGUUUUACCAUCGUGCCCAGUGCGGCGUAUGCUGACGUCGAGUGCAGCAAUUAAAUAUUCUCGAGUUAAAUCUGGAGUCAGGUAUGAUCCCGAUCGAGAUUCACAAAUUAGUCAAAAGCAGACAGCAGAUCAAGCAACUCAUGAAAGCGCCGAAUUUAUUGCCGGAACAGAAAAUGGAUUACCAUAUCAGGCAAACGGCGUUGAACUUCACAGACAAUUCCAUGUAUGGAUGCUUAGGGGCGAUGCAUUAUCGAUUUUACGCUAAAGGUCUUGCCGCUCUGAUAACAGGGCUUUAGCCUAGGAGGAGGACGAGGAUAAAACGAAGAGAAAGGAGCAAUGUAAAGAACGCAAAGAAAAAGAACGAGAAAAGAAACGUGACGAAGAUGAUGGCAAAGGAAAGUGGGAAACCGUUAAAGGCGGCGUGGCUAUUCCCUUCGAGAAACCGAAGAUGUUCGUCAAGGACGUAGAAAUUAAUAUUGAAUAUUGGAGCGUAUUAUGGUAAUAGCGAAACAAUAAUGGAAGAAAUGCAAAAGUUUGAAAUGACGCUGUAUAAAAUAGAUGAUUGUGUGUUGACACUGGUGGAACGUUUCGAUGAGGAAUUCAUAAAGUUGUUGAAGGAAUGUGAUUUACACAGUAAUGAAUACGUGGAAAGAUAUAUCGAUGAAUUUAAUGUUCAAGAUCAAAUGGGAUUAGCUAUUGGUGCUCAUGAUGCAAAUAUUCAACAAGCGUGAAAAGUUGAUGACAUUACAAAUAUAGUUAGAAGAAAAUUCAUACACAUUUAAGAUAUAUAGAGAGACGCAUGAAGCUGUUAAGAAAGACCGAUCUAUGCAGGAAUAAAGCAGUAACCUAAAAAUAGAUAGUGACAGUGUGACAGUCGUGACCAUCGCCGCGUGAUAGAUGAUAGUGAUAGUGAAAUAUAUAUUGACGGCAGGGAGCUGAUGCCGAGGAGAUCUUUAAGAAGGAAGGUAUAUCCAAAAUCGCACACGACCAUUUUAUAUUCAACUAUAUGGUAUACAAUUUUGCCGCUAUAUAUUGACCGCAGGGAGCUGAUACCGAAGAGAUCUUUAAGAAGGAAGGUGUAUCCAAAAUUGCACAUGGGACUUGUGAGUUAUGCGAAGCAAUUGAUACUAUUAAGGUUCAUUGGUCAUAUAAAGUUUGCACACGUCAAGCUUGACAUCCUAAAGAUCACAAUGCAUUCUAAAAAUAUACCGUGCAGGUUCGUUGGCGUAUACGUGGUGUCAUACAAGAUGGAAGAUAUUUUCUAUGUUUUGGAAGUAAAAUUUGGAAAAUACAACAUGCCACAAUAAGCGCUAAACCAGGAAAUAUGGUACGACGGCUUUUUAUUUUUUACGUUAAUGCUGAAUGGAAAAGCCUAUAAGCAUAUUGCGGACAAGAUGAUGUCUAAUCUGGAUACAGCCACGAAAAAGAAAGAUAUGCGCAUGGCAGGGAAAUUAGCGCUAUUCACAGGCCUUGUAAGCAUAUUUAGUAACAACGAAGAUUCUUUGAAUUGAGCUCUGUCUUAAAAUCGCAUCAAUUGAAGUGAAUCCACUGCUGAGUGCUGAAAUUAUACGAUUUUAUCCGUCACAACAAAUAGACAAAGAGGAAUGUUUUUUCCAGUCGAUGGUCUCGAAUGUUGCUGACGUAGCUAUUUCGUUGUAAAUGCAUCAUUAUGAAAUGAUGAUCGGUAGUAAAUGAGAGAUAUGUUGUGAAUUAAAAAGAUGUCUACAUUACCUAAACAGUAUCUUUGUAUAAUUACAAACUAUCUUCAUCUAAUUUUUUAGUGACAAUGUCCGAAUAAUUUGCGUUAGUAUUUCUGUGUAAAAAAAAU